GACGAACGCUGGCGGCGUGCCUAAUACAUGCCAGUUGAGCGCUGAAGGUUGGUACUUGUACCGACUGGAUGAGCAGCGAACGGGUGAGUAACGCGUGGGGAAUCUGCCUUUGAGCGGGGGACAACAUUUGGAAACGAAUGCUAAUACCGCAUAAAAACUUUAAACACAAGUUUUAAGUUUGAAAGAUGCAAUUGCAUCACUCAAAGAUGAUCCCGCGUUGUAUUAGCUAGUUGGUGAGGUAAAGGCUCACCAAGGCGAUGAUACAUAGCCGACCUGAGAGGGUGAUCGGCCACAGUGGGACUGAGACACGGCCCAAACUCCUACGGGAGGCAGCAGUGGGGAAUCUUCGGCAAUGGACGAAAGUCUGACCGAGCAACGCCGCGUGAGUGAAGAAGGUUUUCGGAUCGUAAAACUCUGUUGGUAGAGAAGAACGUUGGUGAGAGUGGAAAGCUCAUCAAGUGACGGUAACUACCCAGAAAGGGACGGCUAACUACGUG
rnacentral:rRNA from 1 species